rnacentral:rRNA from 1 species
AUUUAAUUAGUGGUUUAUUAUAUAAAUUGGUGUUUGAUUUUACUUAUUAAAGUCUUUUAUUUAAUGAAUUAUUUCUAAGAAUUUUAAUUGAUAAAAAACAGAAAUGGAAUGAAAAAUAAAAAAGAAUAAGUCUUCAAGGCGUACCUUUUGUAUCAGGGCUUAAGGAUUAUAAUUGGUAUAAUAUUAUCCCGAAUUCAAAAGAUUUUCCAUUAACAGAAUUUUUACUGUUUAAUUAGUAAAUUUUAGGUAAUGGACGAUGCAACAAGUCACUCGGUUUUGAUGAUAUCUGGUUCUUUAAUAAUUGGUAUAAUCAAGUUGGUUUAUAGUUUUAUCCUAAUUGAUUUAGGAGGUUAUUAUUUAUUGAUAGUCCAUUGGGGAUAAGCUCAAUGGAUAUAAAUUUUGAUAUUUGUUAUUUCAAUAGUUAACAUAAUUAUAAUUAUCCAAUUGAUUUCUUAAUCAAAAUUAUGUAAACAAAAGAAUAACCUAAAAUUUUAUAAGAUUAAAUAUAAUCUUAUGAUUAGUAAUUUAUACACAUAUAGUAAAGGAACUCGGCAAUUAAGGUUUCCGCCUGUUUAAUAAAAACACCGCCUUUUUUUAGAAUAGAAGGUAAUUUCUGCUCAAUGCCCCUAGUAAAUAGCUGCAGUAUUUUGACUGUACUAAGGUAGCAUAAUAACUUGGCCUUUAAUUGGGGUCUGGAAUGAAUGAAUUCACGAGAGACUAACUGUCUCUAUUGUAAUCUACGAAUUUUAUUUUUAAGUAAAAAAGCUUAAUUGUAAUGGAGGGACGACAAGACCCUAUAGAUCUUUACUACUUAAUAUAAAUUAUGUAUGUUAGGAAGGUUGUCUGGGAUGGACCUAAAAAAUACUCAACUUUAGUUAAUAAAACAAUUAUUAUUUUAAUUGAAUGAUCCUAUAAAAGAUAAAAAGAAAAAGUUACCUUAGGGAUAACAGCACAAUUAUUACUAUUUAGACCAUUUAAAUAGUAAAGGUUGUGACCUCGAUGUUGAAUUAAGUUUACUUAUAAAUGCAGAAAGUUAUAAAGUUAGUCUGCUCGACUAUUUAAUACUUACAUGAUUUGAGUUUAGACCGACGUGAGUCAGGUCAGAUUCUAUCUUCCACUAUGUCCUCAUAUUUGUACGAAAGGACUCUUUGGGGGGUUAAAUAACU